rnacentral:rRNA from 1 species
GAUUAAGUUAUUAAGGGCGCACGGUGGAUGCCUUGGCACUAGAAGCCGAUGAAGGACGUUACUAACGACGAUAUGCUUUGGGUAGCUGUAAGUAAGCGUUGAUCCAGAGAUUUCCGAAUGGGGGAACCCAGCACAAGUUAUGUUGUGUUAUCGACAAGUGAAUUCAUAGCUUGUCAGAAGGCAGACCCGGAGAACUGAAACAUCUUAGUACCCGGAGGAAGAGAAAGAAAAUUCGAUUCCCUGAGUAGCGGCGAGCGAAACGGGAAGAGCCCAAACCAAUAAGCUUGCUUAUUGGGGUUGUAGGACACUCUAUACGGAGUUACAAAGGAAUAUAUUAAACGAAUCAUCUGGAAAGUUGAAUCAAAGAAGGUAAUAAUCCUGUAGUUGAAAAUAUAUUCUCUCUUGAGUGGAUCCUGAGUACGACGGAGCACGUGAAAUUCCGUCGGAAUCUGGGAGGACCAUCUCCUAAGGCUAAAUACUCUCUAGUGACCGAUAGUGAACCAGUACCGUGAGGGAAAGGUGAAAAGUACCCCGGAAGGGGAGUGAAAGAGAACUUGAAACCGUGUGCUUACAAGUAGUCAGAGCCCGUUAAUGGGUGAUGGCGUGCCUUUUGUAGAAUGAACCGGCGAGUUACGAUCUGAUGCAAGGUUAAGCAGAAAAUGUGGAGCCGUAGCGAAAGCGAGUCUGAAUAGGGCGUAUAGUAUUUGGUCGUAGACCCGAAACCAGGUGAUCUACCCAUGGUCAGGUUGAAGUUCAGGUAACACUGAAUGGAGGACCGAACCGACUUACGUUGAAAAGUGAGCGGAUGAACUGUGGGUAGCGGAGAAAUUCCAAUCGAACUUGGAGAUAGCUGGUUCUCUCCGAAAUAGCUUUAGGGCUAGCCUCAAGUGAUGAUUAUUGGAGGUAGAGCACUGUUUGGACGAGGGGCCCCUCUCGGGUUACCGAAUUCAGACAAACUCCGAAUGCCAAUUAAUUUAACUUGGGAGUCAGAACAUGGGUGAUAAGGUCCGUGUUCGAAAGGGAAACAGCCCAGACCACCAGCUAAGGUCCCAAAAUAUAUGUUAAGUGGAAAAGGAUGUGGCGUUGCCCAGACAACUAGGAUGUUGGCUUAGAAGCAGCCAUCAUUUAAAGAGUGCGUAAUAGCUCACUAGUCGAGUGACACUGCGCCGAAAAUGUACCGGGGCUAAACAUAUUACCGAAGCUGUGGAUUGUCCUUUGGACAAUGGUAGGAGAGCGUUCUAAGGGCGUUGAAGCAUGAU